CAAUAGCGUAUAUUUAAGUUGCUGCAGUUAAAAAGCUCGUAGUUGGAUUUCGGGUGGGAAUGGCCGGUCCGCCGUUUCGGUGUGCACUUGCUACGCCCACCUUGCUGCCGGGGACGUGCUCUUGAGUUCACGCUCGGGACACGGAGUCGGCGAGGUUACUUUGAGUAAAUUAGAGUGUUCAAAGCAGGCCUACGCUCUGAAUACAUUAGCAUGGAAUAACACGAUAGGACUCUGGCCUAUCUUGUUGGUCUGUAGGACCGGAGUAAUGAUUAAGAGGGACAGUCGGGGGCAUUCGUAUUUCAUUGUCAGAGGUGAAAUUCUUGGAUUUAUGAAAGACGAACUACUUCGAAAGCAUUUGCCAAGGAUGUUUUCAUUAA
rnacentral:rRNA from 1 species